AGGCACGUAGCUCAGCGGAAGAGCACUUCCCUGACACGGAAGGGGUCAGCAGUUCAAUCCUGCUCGUGCCUA
rnacentral:tRNA from 1 species